GUCUUGGUAGUGUAAGGGGUAGAGUACGGUGCUCGAAAGCAGAAUUACGGGUUCGAAUCCCGUCCGAGACU
rnacentral:tRNA from 1 species